GAUUCUGGGAUAGUAUUGGCCUUGGAGUCAGAAGGUUUGUGGUUUGGUAGCAGCUCUGCCGUCCAAUAUGCAUGUGAUUUUUAGCACGUUCAUUUUCCUUUGAGCAUC
rnacentral:miRNA from 14 species